GUUUGUUUGGUACAGAUCUUUCAUUUUCCCCAUGUACGAUCUUAAAAUUUCAGUUAGGUACAGAUCUUUGAUUAUUGCUUGUUCCAGCAUUUGAGCAAGCAUGCAAGACAAUGUUUGAGCAAGUAGAUGGUGCAUUUCAAAAGGGAAUGUCUGAGCAAAUGUAUGCUAUUCAGCAGCAAGUUGAGGCUGCACAUACUCCGUUAGCGCUAACUCUAAAAGAAACCAUCAAUUCGCGCAGAUGGAGAUGGGCACAACUGGGUACGUGAAGCUGCCUCCGAUGAGGCCAUGUCGGAGACGGCCGGCAGGGCUAAGGCCAAUUUCAGGGUAAGCUUAACGAAGCUGGUCAACUAUAGCCGCUAGCAAGACCAUGCCGGUGGCAAGGUGGGCAGGUCAAUGAGUUGCCCGGAGCGAUAGAGAGCAGAUAGAGUCAGCAAUACAUAGUGUCUCUGGGGGCGCUGUGAUAAAAGGCCUGGAAGCAAUGGCAGUCACUAGCCUGAUGAUGUUUGUUGAAUCCUUGCAAGUAAACAUUAAAGCUGCCAUGAAGCUGGAUGAAGGCUCAUGUAGUCGAUUAACAACACUUACAGAAACAAUUUUAGAUGCUGUCAUUAACAAGUCACUGCUGAAUCUAUUCGAGUUGCUGCACUUAGGAACUCAAUCUUUGUUGAAUAAGUCCUUGACUCUUUUGCUUCUCCCUAUUGUUAAUUAGCAUACCAGGCAAAGUUAUAUUGAAUUUCUUGGGGAUCUCUUAUUUAAGGUUAGUAAUAUAUAUGGUGUUCGUUUUUAUAAAAUUGUUGUGUACUAAUAUUUUGUUUAAUAUUUUGUAUAAGUUUGACGAAGCAUUUACAAUGGCUCUUCAAAGGAGUGAUGUUUCCAUAGUAUCGUGGCUGUGCUCCCAGGUUGAUUUGCGGGCACUAUGUGCAAUGGUUCCAGUACCUCUUAACCAGGGGGUCUUUCUGGCCUUAUUGCAGCAGCUAGCAAUUGACAUUCACAAUGAGACAUCACGGAAGGUUCAAUGGAUGACAGAUGUUGCCAUGGCAAUCAACCCAGCAGACCAGAUCAUCGCGGUGCAUGUGCCACCAAUCUUUGAGCAAGUCUACAGCCAAUUGGCCCACCAACGGACACUCCCCACGGCCGCAUCAGAUGGCACCAGUAUCCGUGUGAUCAUGCAUGUAAUUAACUCGGUUCUGCUUAGCUAAGUAUGUGUUUUGUUGCUUAAGAA